CCUACGGGUAGCUGCAGUGGGGAAUAUUGCACAAUGGGGGAAACCCUGAUGCAGCGACGCCGCGUGAGCGAUGAAGUAUCUCGGUAUGUAAAGCUCUAUCAGCAGGGAAGAAAAUGACGGUACCUGACUAAGAAGCCCCGGCUAACUACGUGCCAGCAGCCGCGGUAAUACGUAGGGGGCCAGCGUUAUCCGGAUUUACUGGGUGUAAAGGGAGCGUAGACGGCGAUGCAAGCCAGAUGUGAAAGCCCGGGGCUCAACCCCGGGACUGCAUUUGGAACUGUAUAGCUGGAGUGUCGGAGAGGCAGGCGGAAUUCGUAGUGGAGCGGUGAAAUGCGUAGAUAUCAGGAGGAACACCAGUGGAGAAGGCGGCCUGCUGGACGAUGACUGACGUUGAGGCUCGAAAGCGUGGGUAGCAAACAGGAUUAGAUACCCCAGUAGUC
rnacentral:rRNA from 1 species